GCGACCUGUGUGCAUGCGGUGUACGGA
rnacentral:sRNA from 1 species